UGCAGUCGAGCGAACUGAUUAGAAGCUUGCUUCUAUGACGUUAGCGGCGGACGGGUGAGUAACACGUGGGCAACCUGCCUGUAAGACUGGGAUAACUUCGGGAAACCGAAGCUAAUACCGGAUAGGAUCUUCUCCUUCAUGGGAGAUGAUUGAAAGAUGGUUUCGGCUAUCACUUACAGAUGGGCCCGCGGUGCAUUAGCUAGUUGGUGAGGUAACGGCUCACCAAGGCAACGAUGCAUAGCCGACCUGAGAGGGUGAUCGGCCACACUGGGACUGAGACACGGCCCAGACUCCUACGGGAGGCAGCAGUAGGGAAUCUUCCGCAAUGGACGAAAGUCUGACGGAGCAACGCCGCGUGAGUGAUGAAGGCUUUCGGGUCGUAAAACUCUGUUGUUAGGGAAGAACAAGUACAAGAGUAACUGCUUGUACCUUGACGGUACCUAACCAGAAAGCCACGGCUAACUACGUGCCAGCAGCCGCGGUAAUACGUAGGUGGCAAGCGUUAUCCGGAAUUAUUGGGCGUAAAGCGCGCGCAGGCGGUUUCUUAAGUCUGAUGUGAAAGCCCACGGCUCAACCGUGGAGGGUCAUUGGAAACUGGGGAACUUGAGUGCAGAAGAGAAAAGCGGAAUUCCACGUGUAGCGGUGAAAUGCGUAGAGAUGUGGAGGAACACCAGUGG
rnacentral:rRNA from 1 species